UUAUCAGGAUCAAGGCCAACAGAAGCAGAUCCCAUCGCAGCUUGAGGUUGUGACCGCCAAUCAUUAUUUUUCACAGCAUUCAACUUUGGAACGUUAUUUGCAGCAGAUUUUCUGGCUCUAAAUGCAGCCUUGUCGGCUUGCAAAACUAUCUGUCCUCUAUCGCCAGGCAAAGAACUAUCUGUGGGGUAAAUCCCAAAGUUGUUGCUAUAACUUCCUGAUAAAACGUGUUUGUCGUCACCAGAAAAGGUACACUCGAAUUUAUCAAAAAUACAGUCAUUUUCAUAGAGAUCGCAUAACUUUGAUCGCAAAACAUCAUGCAAUGGAAUAGUUUUAACGGGAGCUUUUUCCAUGUUGACAUCCCAUAUCUUAAGAGUUAAAUAAUCUCUUGAAAGAAUAUAGCGGCCAUUUUGUGAGAACUUAACGUCUGAAAUGCUAGAGAUGAUUUCAGAAAAGAAA